GUGCAUGUAGAAAAGAACUUUGACU
rnacentral:piRNA from 1 species